rnacentral:rRNA from 1 species
AGUAAUGCCUGGGAAUCUGGCUUAUGGAGGGGGAUAACUACGGGAAACUGUAGCUAAUACCGCGUAAUAUCGAAAGAUUAAAGUGUGGGACCUUCGGGCCACAUGCCAUAGGAUGAGCCCAAGUGGGAUUAGGUAGUUGGUGAGGUAAAGGCUCACCAAGCCGACGAUCUCUAGCUGGUCUGAGAGGAUGACCAGCCACACUGGGACUGAGACACGGCCCAG